rnacentral:rRNA from 1 species
AGCGAACGGACGAGAAGCUUGCUUCUCUGAUGUUAGCGGCGGACGGGUGAGUAACACGUGGAUAACCUACCUAUAAGACUGGGAUAACUUCGGGAAACCGGAGCUAAUACCGGAUAAUAUUUUGAACCGCAUGGUUCAAAAGUGAAAGACGGUCUUGCUGUCACUUAUAGAUGGAUCCGCGCUGCAUUAGCUAGUUGGUAAGGUAACGGCUUACCAAGGCAACGAUGCAUAGCCGACCUGAGAGGGUGAUCGGCCACACUGGAACUGAGACACGGUCCAGACUCCUACGGGAGGCAGCAGUAGGGAAUCUUCCGCAAUGGGCGAAAGCCUGACGGAGCAACGCCGCGUGAGUGAUGAAGGUCUUCGGAUCGUAAAACUCUGUUAUUAGGGAAGAACAUAUGUGUAAGUAACUGUGCACAUCUUGACGGUACCUAAUCAGAAAGCCACGGCUAACUACGUGCCAGCAGCCGCGGUAAUACGUAGGUGGCAAGCGUUAUCCGGAAUUAUUGGGCGUAAAGCGCGCGUAGGCGGUUUUUUAAGUCUGAUGUGAAAGCCCACGGCUCAACCGUGGAGGGUCAUUGGAAACUGGAAAACUUGAGUG